rnacentral:rRNA from 1 species
AUUGAACGCUGGCGGCAUGCCUUACACAUGCAAGUCGAACGGUAACAGGUCUUCGGAUGCUGACGAGUGGCGAACGGGUGAGUAAUACAUCGGAACGUGCCCGAUCGUGGGGGAUAACGAAGCGAAAGCUUUGCUAAUACCGCAUAAGAUCCAAGGAUGAAAGCGGGGGACCGCAAGGCCUUGCGCGAACGGAGCGGCCGAUGGCAGAUUAGGUAGUUGGUGGGAUAAAAGCUUACCAAGCCGACGAUCUGUAGCUGGUCUGAGAGGACGACCAGCCACACUGGGACUGAGACACGGCCCAGACUCCUACGGGAGGCAGCAGUGGGGAAUUUUGGACAAUGGGCGAAAGCCUGAUCCAGCCAUGCCGCGUGCAGGAUGAAGGCCUUCGGGUUGUAAACUGCUUUUGUACGGAACGAAAAGACUCUUUCUAAUAAAGAGGGUCCAUGACGGUACCGUAAGAAUAAGCACCGGCUAACUACGUGCCAGCCGCCGCCGUAA